AGCAAACGCUGGCGGCAGGCUUAACACAUGCAAGUCGAACGGGCGUAGCAAUACGUCAGUGGCAGACGGGUGAGUAACGCGUGGGAACGUACCUUUUGGUUCGGAACAACACAGGGGAAACUUGUGCUAAUACCGGAUAAGCCCUUACGGGGAAAGAUUUAUCGCCGAAAGAUCGGCCCGCGUCUGAUUAGCUAGUUGGUGAGGUAACGGCUCACCAAGGCGACGAUCAGUAGCUGGUCUGAGAGGAUGAUCAGCCACAUUGGGACUGAGACACGGCCCAAACUCCUACGGGAGGCAGCAGUGGGGAAUAUUGGACAAUGGGCGCAAGCCUGAUCCAGCCAUGCCGCGUGAGUGAUGAAGGCCCUAGGGUUGUAAAGCUCUUUUGUGCGGGAAGAUAAUGACGGUACCGCAAGAAUAAGCCCCGGCUAACUUCGUG
rnacentral:rRNA from 1 species